GAGGCCCUGGGCUACCGGAAAGCCCCUCACCCCCAGGGGGUGGGCUCCAGCCUCUACCUGGGGGAGGAGGCGGUGCUCCACUCCACGGGGCUUUG
rnacentral:tRNA from 1 species